rfam:Acinetobacter sp. ANC 4558 Contig1, whole genome shotgun sequence.
AUUCACUGCCGUAUAGGUAGCUUAGAAA